AAAAAGUCUGAAUCCUUCAGAACAA
rnacentral:tRNA from 1 species